rnacentral:rRNA from 1 species
CCUGAGGAAAAGAAAUCAACCGAGAUUCCCUUAGUAGUGGCGAGCGAACGGGGACUAGCCCUUAAGCUUCUUUGAUUUUAGCGGAACGCUCUGGAAAGUGCGGCCAUAGUGGGUGAUAGCCCUGUACGCGAAAGGAUCUUAGAAGUGAAAUCGAGUAGGACGGAGCACGAGAAACUUUGUCUGAAUAUGGGGGGACCAUCCUCCAAGGCUAAAUACUACUGACUGACCGAUAGUGAACCAGUACCGUGAGGGAAAGGCGAAAAGAACCCCGGAGAGGGGAGUGAAAUAGAUCCUGAAACCGUAUGCGUACAAGCAGUGGGAGCAGACUUCGUUCUGUGACUGCGUACCUUUUGUAUAAUGGGUCAGCGACUUAUUUUCAGUGGCGAGCUUAACCGAAUAGGGGAGGCGUAGCGAAAGCGAGUCUUAAUAGGGCGUCUAGUCGCUGGGAAUAGACCCGAAACCGGGCGAUCUAUCCAUGGGCAGGUUGAAGGUUAGGUAACACUGACUGGAGGACCGAACCGACUACCGUUGAAAAGUUAGCGGAUGACCUGUGGAUCGGAGUGAAAGGCUAAUCAAGCUCGGAGAUAGCUGGUUCUCCUCGAAAGCUAUUUAGGUAGCGCCUCAUGUAUCACUGUAGGGGGUAGAGCACUGUUUCGGCUAGGGGGUCAUCCCGACUUACCAAACCGAUGCAAACUCCGAAUACCUACAAGUGCCGAGCAUGGGAGACACACGGCGGGUGCUAACGUCCGUCGUGAAAAGGGAAACAACCCAGACCGUCAGCUAAGGUCCCAAAGUUAUGGUUAAGUGGGAAACGAUGUGGGAAGGCUUAGACAGCUAGGAGGUUGGCUUAGAAGCAGCCACCCUUUAAAGAAAGCGUAAUAGCUCACUAGUCGAGUCGGCCUGCGCGGAAGAUGUAACGGGGCUCAAACCAUACACCGAAGCUACGGGUAUCACGUAAGUGAUGCGGUAGAGGAGCGUUCUGUAAGCCUGUGAAGGUGAGUUGAGAAGCUUGCUGGAGGUAUCAGAAGUGCGAAUGCUGACAUGAGUAACGACAAUGGGUGUGAAAAACACCCACGCCGAAAGACCAAGGUUUCCUGCGCAACGUUAAUCGACGCAGGGUUAGUCGGUCCCUAAGGCGAGGCUGAAAAGCGUAGUCGAUGGAAAACAGGUUAAUAUUCCUGUACUUCUGGUUAUUGCGAUGGAGGGACGGAGAAGGCUAGGCCAGCUUGGCGUUGGUUGUCCAAGUUUAAGGUGGUAGGCUGAAAUCUUAGGUAAAUCCGGGAUUUCAAGGCCGAGAGCUGAUGACGAGUUACCCUUUGGGUGACGAAGUGGUUGAUGCCAUGCUUCCAAGAAAAGCUUCUAAGCUUCAGAUAACCAGGAACCGUACCCCAAACCGACACAGGUGGUUGGGUAGAGAAUACCAAGGCGCUUGAGAGAACUCGGGUGAAGGAACUAGGCAAAAUG